rnacentral:rRNA from 1 species
UACCGAGGUCCCAAGCGUUGUUCGGAUUUACUGGGCGUAAAGGGUGCGUAGGUGGCGGGGUAAGUCUGGUGUGAAAGCUCCGAGCUCAACUCGGAAAAGCAUUGGAAACUAUCCCGCUAGAGGGUCGGAGGGGAGACUGGAAUUCUCGGUGUAGCAGUGAAAUGCGUAGAUAUCGAGAGGAACACCAGUGGCGAAGGCGAGUCUCUGGACGACUCCUGACACUGAGGCACGAAAGCUAGGGGAGCAAACAGG